rnacentral:rRNA from 1 species
ACAAGUACCGUGAGGGAAAGUUGCAAAGCACUUUGAAGAGAGAGUUAAAGAGGACGUGAAACCGGUGAGGUGGAAACGGAUAGAGUCGGCGUAUCUUGCAAGUAUUCAUUUACAUUAUUUUUAUGUUGUGAUCUCUGAGCUCCAGAUUGGGACAGAGGAAAGCAGGAUGAUAUUUUGUGAUGCAUUUGCUUGCUUGGUGCGUGGGGAUAUCUGAGGCAGAUUUGCGACCAUCGUUUUGAGGCUAGCUUGCUAGUACCCAAAUGGUGUUAGUAUUUUUUGACUUGGCUAUGUGAGUAUGGCUUACGGGCAUUUAUUGGUUCGAUCUGAGGGUAAGUUACGGUCGCAUGCGACACGUGCUUUUCAAUUAGUUCGGUCUAGUUAAUGCUCUCGUACUCUUCCCCCAUGUAAAAGCCGGUCAUCUAUCCGACCCGUCUUGAAACACGGACCAAGGAGUUUAUCGUGUGCGCAAGUUUUUGAGUGUUAAAAACCUAAAAGCGAAAUGAAAGUAAAUGACUCUUUGGAGUCUGAUGUGCGAUCUUUUUUAAAAAAAGUGCAGCAUGGCCCCAUUCAAACUGUUUACAGUAGGAUGGUGGAAGAGCGUACGCGGUGAGACCCGAAAGAUGGUGAACUAUUCCUGAGCAGGACGAAGCCAGAGGAAACUCUGGUGGAAGUCCGAAGCGGUUCUGACGUGCAAAUCGAUCGUCUGACUUGGGUAUAGGGGCGAAAGACUAAUCGAACCAUCUAGUAGCUGGUUCUUCCGAAAGGGCG